AUUGAACGCUCGCGGCAGGCCUAACACAUGCCAGUCGUGCGGGGUUUUCGCACCUGGCGGCGGCCGGGUGCGCAAUGCGCAGGAAGCUGCCGACAGAGGGGGAUACCUGUUGGAAACGACUGUUAAUACCGCAUAACGUCUACGGACCAAAGUGUGGGACCUUCGGGCCACAUGCUAUCGGAUGCGCCUACGUGGGAUUCGCUAGUGUGUGAGGUAAUGGCUCACCAAGGCGACGAUCUCUAGCUGGUGUGAGAGGAUGAUCAGCCACACUGGAACUGAGACACGGGCCAGACUCCUACGGGAGGCAGCAGUGGGGAAGAUUGGACAAGGGGCGCAAGCCUGAUCCAGCCAUGCCGCGCGUGUGAAGAAGGCCUUCGGGUUGGAAAGCACUUUCAGCGAGGAGGAAGGGGUGUGUGUUAAUAGUACACACCUUUGACGUUACUCGCAGAAGAAGCACCGGCUAACUCUGUGCCAGCCGCCGCCGUAAUAC
rnacentral:rRNA from 1 species